rnacentral:lncRNA from 1 species
CAGGGGGUUGGAAUUGGAUGAGCACUGUGGUCCUGUUCAACCCAGGUUAUUCCAUGAUGCUAUGAUUAAUAAACUAUAUGACUUAUUAUAUUAAACAAUGAAAGGAAAAGGAGCUGGAAGACUCCUUAGAGCUAAACCAAACCAACAUAAAGCCUGUGGUGCAUUGAAGAAGAGAAAAAAAAAAAUUAAUGCCACUUAAAACCCCCUGAACUUUGUGUAUAGGUUCUUAUGUAAGUUAUGUUCUUCUCUACCCUUUAUGCAAGUUUUUCCUUCUCUAGAGCUGGUCCUGCGUGGGCUCUGCUGGGAGGGUGCAGGAGGUGUGAGCUCAGCCGGUGCUCAGUGCAGUGCUGUGCCCAUGGGACGUGGGUGAAGCCCUGGGUGUCUCCAGGAGCAGCACUUCCAGGUGUGCACAGGUCCAUCAGGGCAGAGUCUCACAUCUCAUGUCAUCCAUUGUAACUCUUGCAGUUGGCUUCAUUGCUCCUUCCAGAUGGUGUCUUGCACCGUGUGCCCAUCAUGGUUAAUAUGUGGGUAUGGACAUUGGUGAGCACUGCAUGCAUCCGUGGAGCCAGGAGAGGCAGUGCGGCUGUGCAGGAGCAGGGAGUUGUGUGCCCAUCACCUCGCUGCGAGCAGACUGACCUGCUGGUGGAUCCCGACUGCCACAGAAUCACCGAACCAUAGAACGGCCUGGGUUGAGAAGGAGCACAGUGCUCAUCCAGUUCCAACCCCCUGCUAUGUGCAGGGUCGCCAACCAGCAGACCAGGCUGCCCAGAGCCACAUCCAGCCUGGCCUUGAAUGCCUGCAGGGAUGGGGCAUCCACAGCCUCCUUGGGCAACCUGUUCAGUGCGUCACCACCCUCUGGGGGAAAAACUUCCUCCUCAUAUCCAACCUAAACCUCCCCUGUCUCAGUUUAAAACCAUCCCCCUUUGUCCUGUCACUGUCCACCCUUGUAACUCUUCCCCCAAACACACGUGUUCCCUUCUGCUCCGAGGCGAGGAGCAUUCCUGCUGUGUACACUGCACAGAAACCCGUGUUUAGAGCCCACUGCAUCUGCAGGGAUGAGAGGAAUGGGAUCAUUCUUCUGCUUUAUUCGCUCGCUGGACUUUGAGCUUCAAAAAACAAACUCCAGUUCCGCUCCUAUGAAUUAUCCUAGUCCCAUCAUUUUACAGACGUGGAAUGCAGCACUUUGGUUUACAUUCACUUAAAAAGUAAGGAGUUUGAAUGCAGGCCCUGCGUUAAUUAGAGGGGGAAGCAGCUUAGUGCCUGUGCCUGCAGCAAGAGGAGCUGGGAGUGUGGAUGGAGCCCCAAAAUGUGUUUGUGGCACUGCCCAGCUCUGCACGGAGCAGAGGGCUGCAGCAUGGGGUGGGUGGCAGCCUGCCUUGCCCUCCCAAGGGGGUAUCUGUAGUGGGAAUGCUGCGUGGCUCUGAUGCAGGAGCUGCAGCGUUCCACAUCAUCAGGAAGGAAAUCUCCGCAAUCAUCCUUAGCACUGCCUGUGUUCUUUCGGGCAGCACUCACUGCCUGUCCUCCUGAUAGGCGUCAGAUGAUUUAUUUAUACCGCUGCGGUGUGAGAAACUCCACCUUGAGAGCUUCUCUUUAAAAAAGCAUCGGUAAUUAUAGGGUGCUGCUUUCAUGUUUGACUCAGGUUUAUUUUCAUGCCACGCUGCCCGGCUGCUGGAGGAAUCGUUGCUUAAAGACAGGCAGAGCGGUUGGUUUGCUGUGCGCUGUGCAUGGAGAGCCACGAGUCACACGUGCUGACAUUGCCCAUGUUUGUUAUCUACGUGUCUGCGUCGUGGAAGGAGCACGAUGUGACUCUGGGGUGUCCUGGAGGUGGAUGGAGGCUCCGUGGAAGGAAGGAGCUGCUUUAUUUCUCCCUUAGGAGAGGUCUGUCAGAGCCAUGGCGUGGAAUUCUUGGGGCGGUGGGGUUGGCUUGUGGGUAACACAAGUGGAGCGCUUGGUGCACAUCCCAGCCUUCAGAUCCUCGUGUGUGUGAAUAACCCUCUUUCUGCCCCACAACCACUUCCAUUCACGCUGCCCCGGUCCACAUGAGUUACCAAAGAGUCAUCUGAUGAGCACUCCUGACCCGGAGCCAGGCAGAGCAAGCUCAGAGCUCUGCUUGUUCCUGGGCUGACACACACGGGUGUGCAAACAGCAGAUGUGUGCCUUCCCUUAUGUGCAGCUCCGAGGGGCAGCGGUGUGCCUGCCUUCCUCCGGGCUCAGGGCAUGGAAGCUCCCAUUUGUUCCCAUUGCCUCUCAGCUGUGCUGGUGAACGUUCUGUUGCCCAACUCUUGCUCACAUCAGCUGAAGUUGCUCACUGUGGUUGGACUGCAGCAAUGGCCGUUCUGUAGCACAGAGUUGGAAGGGUUACGCUGAUGGAAGAAAGUCUGCUGGGUAGGUGAGCUCUUGUUUGCAAUAGCAGCCACAUUGGGAAUGUGUUUGUAAGCACUGAGGGGGGGUGAAGAGAUGGCUGAUCUGUGUCUGUGCAGCAAAGGACUUUCCUAUUUGCUUGCUUUGUUUUUCCCUUUGUGCUGCUCAGGGCCAUGAUUUAGCAGAGGGUUGUUUGAAUUAGGGUAGUAUGGCUGGGUUGUAGUUGGACUGGAUGAUCUUCAAGGUCUUUUGCAACCUGAGCAAUUCUAUGACUGUAUGAUUGUAUGUCGAGGACAGGCUGGUAAAGCAGGGUUCCCCACAAGGUGGGCUUUCUGUCCUUGGAGUGUGAAGCUGGAGGGGCCCGGUGGUGUUGGGGUGGUUGGCUGCUGAGUGAGCCCUGUUCAUGGGCUGCCGUGUUGUGCCUGGCAUCUUCCCUGGGCUGCUUCCCUCUGAGUUUGAUAAGCUAUUUCAUAUGAAGCUGGGGGGAAAAGCUGGGAGAUAACUGCAGGGAGGAGCAGGUGUAAGUUGGGGUCUUCCUGGCCGUGUGUCAACACUCAGCUGCAGGAGGACGUGUUAAAGGGUUCAGGUGCUUUCUGCAGUGGUGGAUGGCUCAUAGCUCCAUCCCCUUGCAGUGGGCAGCAAAGGGCACUUCAGCCCUUGUGUUUGCCCCUAUGCACCUCCUCCGGAGUGUGUUUCCCCUGUGCUGUCCCCAUCUCCUGUUCUCUCCUGUGGGUUCUGCAUUGAGAUGCUGUUUCUGACAGCUACGUGCUCGUGGUGUUCCAGAUAGCCAUCAGAAGAGGUCCAGGAGCUGAAUGGUGGUGAGAGCACAGAGGUUCUUAGUGCUGAGAAUGUCACCUGGGAAGCAUACACCGGUGGGCAGCAGCAGCUGUCUGGCCAUGGGGGGGAUGGCAGGUGAUGCUCAGGGCCUCUCAGUGCAGGACAUUGGGCAAAAGGAUGGAAACCCUUCCCAUAGGCUCCUUGCAGGGCUCCAGGAGCACAUCUGCAAAGGGGAGAAGUGGACAGCUUUCUCUCCUGGAGAGGUGUUAUGGAAGGAAUAAGGGAGGUUCUGAGAGAGGGGAAAAACAAGUGAAAUAACGUGAGGGUGGACUGGCAACGUGCUGAAUGUGUGGAGAUAGGAGGCAGAGGGAAUUGUGCAUCAGGCUUCUGUGGCAGCUGUAAUGCUGAGCCCAGGGAGCUGUGCAGGAGUGGGUGGGUGCAGCGCUGCGAGCGAUGGAGGCAGUGCUGUGCUGUGGGUUUUGCUGGCCAGCCCCCAGCCCUUGGGCCCUGCAGUUCUUCCCAUGGCUUCGUGUUGAAGGAUUUGUCAGAAUGGUGGGGUUCAUCUAUGGCUCUUCAGGUGUAGCUGUCUGCAGCUGCUUAAAUUGGGACCCGGUGCUUGUUAUGUUUUUGAGCUGCUUGAAUAACUCCUGUUGUAAGAAGGGAGAUCUCGCAUUUGCAGUUCUAACAGGCACUGUUUCCUGCUCAGAUCACUGCUUCCUAUUUCAUUUUCUGCAUAAGGUUUGGUUGGAGGCCCCCAGCUUGCAUCCCACUGUUGCACCCAUUUGCUGGGGCAGCUGGAGCUGCAGUCUCUGCGAGCAGCCUUCCAUCAGCACAGCCCACAGGUGGUUGCAUGCUGAGGCAUCCGCUGCCCCUCUGCCUUCAGGAGCAGGGAUUUGGUGCAGCAGGCACCGAAGGAGGAUUGUUCUGAAGGCUCGAGCCAUAACGGAGCUCCGUGUGCCCACCUGCGUUCUCUUCAGGCUGGUAAUGUUAUCUGUCUCUGGAUUUCUCUUCGUGCGCCGCUGACAGCAGGCUGUGCUCCUACACCUCCUCAGCAGAGGUGGAGUGUUACCAUCUGUCACCGUGUGGGCAGCAGUCAUCCCAAAAAGUAAUGGCAGUGGGAGUUGUUGCCAGUUACAAGUUGUGAUCACAAGCCAAAUGGCGCACUUCUAAAUUAAUACGUUUCCAAAGGGAAAGCAAUGCAGGUGUUUAUUUUUGCAAAGCGUUUUCAGUGGCAGGCACUCUGCUGGGGUCUUGGCUUGGAGGUGUUCUGUGGGUGUGUGAGGGACCGAUGCCCUCCAUGCAGUGGUACGUGGGGUAUGUGAGCCCACAUGGGGCUGCAGAUGGGGUUCUUGUAAGAGGGUGAGUGAUGGAAGUUUGCUCUGCCCAAUGGGAACUGAAGGAUGUGGUGUUGUCCUUUGGCACAACCAGCCCUUAGCAGGGCUCUGCUGCUGCCCUUGGGUCAUGGGGAGGUGCGAGGUGGGAAGGUGCCCUGUGCUCAGUCUGGUUGGUUGGAAGGGUAUAUAUCUCUCACCCUUGGGCAGGGCACCAAGUCUCCUAUAAUGCUUAUACGAUCACUUACCAACUCAUAGGGUAGACUGCACUUAUUGGUUAGAACUGACUAUCAAUCACCUGAACUAAGUUUUAAUUAAACUUAGCUUAAAGCUAAUUUAAAACUAAACUUAAAGCCCAGACAGAAGACGUCUUGUAGGCAGGUGGGAAGAGUUGGAACUAAUCUUUUUUUUUUAAUAAUUAUUUUAAAAUAUGGAAUUAAAAUAGCAACAAUAGGUGAAGAUAUCGUAGCACAUCUCCUUGGUCCCCCUUUUCCUCCAUCAUGUUGGAUCCUGACUGAGGGCUGCUAUCGAUUCAGCAUCACUGACAGCAGCAGCAGAUGAUGGUCAUUACUCUUCAAAUAGAGGUGUUUAGAGAAUAACAAAGAGGAAUACCAUGACAACCCAAGCCUUACAGAUGAUCCUUUCCAUGCAUUUUUUGCACACAAGCUGUGUUGUAGAGGGGAUACGAAUAUCCUUGGAUGUUUGUAUUUGGAUACAAAUAACCUGUUCAGUGCAUCACCACUGUGCCUGGAGCACCUCCUGCAAACAGCACUGCCAGCUCUGCACGGUGCCCCACCGCAGGGAAUGCUGCCUCUUUGGGCAGGCUGUGCUGUAAUCUUCACAGUCUCUAGGUGAGAAUGCUCAUAAGUGGUUUCCAUGCUAUUGUUUGCAUUGUUUUGCUUAAAAAGCAGAGAACUUUGGAAAACGUGAUAUCCUUAUCCAGUUUAGAUGGAAGAUAAUCCAAUCUAAGCACAACACUCAAUGUUAAAUCAUUUUUUCUCCUUCCGACUCAGUCUUGUUAGAGAAGAAAGGCCUCCUGGUGUGGCUGGCAGCGCAGCAGCAGAUGAUGCUGUGCUUAUUGUUGCACGUCUCGAUGCCAUAGAUGUGUUUCUAUAGGAAAUUUCCUCUGCCUGAGGAAAUAGACUUCUGUUUGUUCGUAGACGUUGUUCCAGAGUGAAAUAAAAGUGGAUGGAGACGGUGGUGUCACAGCAGUGGGAUGGGAUGUGCUGCUCUUUGCACCAAAGCUGGACGUGGGGAUGUAUCCCAGGAGGGAGCUGUUUCCUCCGACGUGUUUUGUUUUGCAGAUGGGGUGAGUGCAGAGGAUGCUCACUAUUGUCAGCAGGCAGAUGGUGACUGUCUGAGCCGCAGGAUAGGAUAUUCUGGAUAAACACACAUUGUUCCCAUAGUUUUUGGGCCAUAUACGUGAAUUACCCAAGGUGUUCUCAUGGUUCCUAACUUUGGGCUCCGUUUGGGUAGGGGUAGAUUUCAAGAGCCUCACUGGAAAUAAGUAAACCAUGGAUUUGGGAAGUGCUGCUCGCUCCGGUGCAAUCGCUGUGGUUGUUUGAGUGCUGCUGUCCAUCUUCGGGCCAUCCAUCAAUACGGACCCAUAACAGCUGGCUUCAGGGCAGGCAGAUCUGAUCCCAGUCAGAUCUCACUGGGUUUGCACCUUGCGUACCAUACCCAUACAUCUCCAUACCUGCGUGCAUUGCCCACUGCAGGAUGACAUCAGAACCAGCUGAAUUCUGAGCUGGGAUGGAGCAGCUCUGGGCACACUGCAGCACUCAGCAUUCUAUAUGUACGCUGUAAUUUCAAGUGUGCUCGCACAGCAGGUUUGUUUAUAGCUGCUUUCACUUUAAACGCAUUGCUUGAGUAGUCAGGUCUAUUCUAAACACCACUUACCUUUUGUCUUUGAUGAAGUAUGUGUAUAAAUGUGCUUUCCAUGUGCAUGCUGUUCUGGGGCUGGGAUGCUCUGAGUGCUUUGACCCUGCAGUUUUUGUGCCCUCCUUUCCUAUCUUUCUUGAAGGCCAACAGCUUUUGUGCUGGAGUGGAGGUGUAUGGCUGGGUGCUGCAGCUUCAUGUGGAGGAGUGGGUAAGGCAGCAAAUUUGUGUAUGUCCCAGUAUGGUGUUACCAAAGGUGCUUAAGGAAGGGGAUGUGGGAAUGUCAGGCCAGGAGCUGUGUUCUGAGGUACGUAAGUUAUGGUUGAAUGCUUCCAGGUGAGCAAAAGCAUUGCCUGUUCUCUUGGAAAUUCCCUUGUUCUGUGGGAGCUUUAGGAAACUGUGGAGUGGCUUUUUGAGUUCUGUGGCUCCAGGAGCUGAAAUAAAGGCAUAAAUAGCUGCUGCAGUUACUGGAGGCAUUCCCUGCUGGAGGAAGGCUGUGUCUGUGAGUGUGUGCUGCUCUCCAGAAAAGGUCAAAGAAGACAAAUGGAGCCCAGUUCUGCACAGAGUGUGGAUGCUAUGGAGGGCAAGGAGGGGGAGAUCUUCAGUGCAUGGUGGUAGGGGAUGAAAUCUUCAGUGUGUGGUGGUAGAGGCUGACCUGCUGGAGAGGAGCGGUGGGAGUCCUGGUGGAUGACAGGUUGGCCAUGAGCCAUCAGUGUGCCCUGGUGGCCAAGAAGGCCAAUGGGAUCCUGGGGUGCAUUCAAAAGAGUGCAGCCAGGAGGCUGAGAGAGGUGAUCCUCGCCCUCUGCUCUGCCCUGGUGAGGCCAUAUUGAGUGUACUGUGUCCAGUUCUGGGCUCCCCAGUUCCAAAAAGACAGGGAUCUCCUGGGAGGAGGGCCACAGAGGAAAUGAAGGGCCUGGAGUAUCUCCCCUAUGAGGAAAGGCUGGGUGACCUGGAGCUGUUCAGCAUGGGGAAAAGAAGACUGGAAUGGGCUGCCCAGAGAGGUGGCGGUUGUAUCUUCUGCAGAGAUGCUCAAGAGCCAUCUGGAUGCCAACCUAUUGUAGGGAACUGCUUUAGCAGGGGGCUGGACUCGAUGAUCUCCGGAGGUCCCUUCCAACCCCUGCAGUUCUGUGACUCUGUAAUCCAUCCCCAGAAUUCCCUGAGUGGGGACCUCUGUCCUCCCCCCAUGCUGUGCUCUCUGUGGGCUGUUGGGUUUGCUCUCCCAGUUAUCGGCUGGCAUCAAUUAAAACGGUUGCUAAUUGCAUUCUGUCUCCUGACCUUGAACGACUCUGGAAGGAAAAUACUUGCCUUGGUGCGUGCUGAACGUACCCUGUAAUGGGUGGUGGCAUUUGACAUGCAUGUUGUAAGUGCUGAGCUGAAAAGAAGUAGUUAAUAGAUAGUGACCUGUGUGGAGACAGAGCAGAGGGGUGACCAGAUAGGUUGCAUUUAAUGUUAUUAAGCAUGUUAUGAUGAUGAGCAUUUGAAGGCAUCAGAAAGGUGAGGAUUUGCAGCGGUAUUUGUUGUAACAGCAGAGCAGUGGCAGUUUGGGCCCCCAAAGGGCUUUGCCAGUACAGAUCGUGGUGCAUUGGAUCAACGUUAUUAAGAUGCUGGGAAGAUUGCUCCAUUGAUAGCUUGGAACUGUUUGUUAAACAGCAAAUGAAAUGGCAGCUCGUUGUAAUUUUCAUAUUAAACCAGGAGUCUGAGCUGGUGAGAUGGCACCGUGCAGAUGCAAUCCUGUUAUUUUAAGGUGUGAGGGGUGAGCAGAACCAUCUCAUUUAAACACGGACCGUUCUCUGAUCCCUGCCAUGGUUCUCUUGGUGUCUGGAUGCCUCCCCACAUUAUUUGCAGGGGUGAUGUGAGGGAGCUGCUGCCAGCUCAGAGUGUGGUGAAUAGCAGCAUAAUGCAACUGCAGAUCAGCCAGGCGGGAUCUGAACAUGGACCAUGGUGCUGUGUUGGUUGUAUGGUCACCUGUGCAGUUCUUGGUGCAUCAAUGGUAUGUGCUCCAGUGUAGCAAACUCUGCAAGUACAGUAAUUAUGUAAUUGCUUUCAAUUAGAGAGUCAGAAGUUGAGAAGACAGCGUUUCUCAGGAUGGAAACCAGCUUGUUUUCUGGGUGGGUCCCGAUGCAGUUGGCUCAUCCCUGCAUCGCUGUAGUUGGAGGAUCACUGUUUCCCUGAUCUGUGGUUUGUUGGGUGACCCAUCAUUAAAAAACCUAACAAAAAAAGCACGUAGAAUCGUAGGGACGUUAAAAAGAAAUGGCUUGUGAGUUAGAACUCAAAUUGAGGCUAUUCCCUGUCAGUGUGUGCUUUGUUUCCAACACGUUUGUAUAUGCAAAGCAAUGCUUGAGUUGAGAAUGCCCUCCGAGCUCCCUCUGUUUCCAGGUGUGUGCCAGCUGAUGGCCGAACAGGAAGAGAAACCUGGUGUGAAGGUGGAAAUCUCCAUUCAGAGCGCUCCGUUCCAGCAGAGCUGGUCGGGCAGCAUUGCUCACAUCAGUGGUGUUGGAGACAGGUGCUUGCUGGGUUGGAAGUCUGCCUUAAUUCUGUUGGUAGAAGUGUGAGUGAGUUGGUAAUUUCUCUGGGUCCACGUGACUGACAGCGUGUUGGUUGUAGAGGCUUCAAAUUCAGUUAGCUGUGUGCCACUGCUGUGAGAUGUUACCUGCUCCAGUGCAGUGUCUGCAUAGAGGAUGGGGAAAGCAUCGCUCUGUUUGCUUUAGGAGGAGCAGAAAGUCAGUCUUGCAUUUCAUCCCAUUGAAGGUUUGCUCAGUCGCGGCGUUAAAUACUUUAAAUUAUACAGUGGAUGGUGUUCAUCUCAGUGCAGCAAACUUCUUAAGCCAGCAGGGAGAGGGAGGUGAUUGUGCCCCUCUUUUUAGCUCUGGUGAGGCCCCAUCUGCAGUGCUGCAUCCAGGCCUGGGGCCCCCAAUACAGGAAGGACGUGGAGCUCUUGGAGCGGGUCCAGAGGAGGGCUACUAAGAUGAACAGAGGGCUGCAGCACCUCUCCUAUGAGGAAAGGUUGGGGGAACUGGGCUGGUUUGGCUUGGAGAAGAGAAGGCUCCGGGGGGACCUCAUUGCGGCCUUCCAAUACUUGAAGGGAGCAUAUAAACAGGAGGGGGAAUGGCUGUUUAUGAGGGUGGAUAGUGAUAGGACGAGGGGGAAUGGUUCUGAACUGAGACAGGGGAGGUUUAGGUUGGAUGUGAGGAGGAAGUUUUUCCCCCAUAGGGUGGUGACGCACUGAACAAGUGCCAUGAGUUAGCAGAGGGCUGUUAGUUAGGGUAGUAUGGUGAGGCUGUGGUUGGACUGGGUGGUAUUGAGGGUCUUUUGCAACCUGAGCAAUUCUAUGAUUCUGCAGUAAAAAGGGCUGUGUGCUGAGGAGUGAUUUGAAGCUGGGUGCUGGAAUGUGAGGCAGAGCUGUUCCCUACCGGUUACCUUUGAACCUCAUGCAGUUAUUGGGUGCACAGGUGUCACCAUUUGGGCCUGCAGGUCGCUUGCUUUGUGCUUCAGGCACUGAAUCAUCUCAACCCCAGUGUGCUGAGGCCCAGUGCUUCUACCUCUCAGCUUGCUGGCUCCUUGGCUUUGCAGCAUCAAUAACAGCUGUGUGCAUUUCAAUAGCAUUUCCUCAUCUUCAUAGUUCCUUACAGUUAGAAUAGUUCUAACAUUGGUUCUCCUCCAUAUAACAGUUUGUUUGUUGCUCUCUGGAUAUAUUUGUUGUGAUACAGCACUUCCACGCAGCGGAAUUUAUGAAUAUAAUUAGAGGGUGAAAGGCAUUAUAAGAAUCAAAGCACUGUAACGACAUUCAGUUCUUAUUGACAAGCUGCUCAUUGCUGCUGCAUUCACAUGAAGAUUUCUAAUGCAGCAAUAGGAGCAGUGAAAGCUCAGUGCGUGGAUGGGAUGGGACUUUUGGAUUGCUUUGCAGGCAGCACUGGGCUCCAUCUCGCUGCCCAGCUGCCUGCUGCUCUGUUUUAUGGAGCAUCAC